UACAGAGACCCCGAGCGUUAGCCGGAAUUAUUGGGUGUAAAGGGUUCGUAGGCGGAAGCGUGCGUCUGUUGUGAAAUCGUGAGGCUCAACCUCACGGCGUGCAGUGGAUACGGCGCUUCUUGAGGUAGGAAGAGGUAGACGGAACUUAUGGUGGAGCAGUGAAAUGCGUUGAUAUCAUAGGGAACACCAAUUGCGAAGGCAGUCUACUGGUCCUGUCCUGACGCUCAGGAACGACAGCGUGGGGAGCGAAGCGG
rnacentral:rRNA from 1 species